rnacentral:rRNA from 1 species
GUGGGGAAUAUUGGACAAUGGGCGAAAGCCUGAUCCAGCCAUGCCGCGUGUGUGAAGAAGGUCUUCGGAUUGUAAAGCACUUUCAGUGGGGACGAUAAUGACGGUACCCACAGAAGAAGCCCCGGCUAACUUCGUGCCAGCAGCCGCGGUAAUACGAAGGGGGCUAGCGUUGUUCGGAUUUACUGGGCGUAAAGCGCACGUAGGCGGAUCGUUAAGUCGAGGGUGAAAUCCUGGAGCUCAACUCCAGAACUGCCUUCGAUACUGGCGAUCUUGAGUCCGGAAGAGGUGAGUGGAACUCCUAGUGUAGAGGUGGAAUUCGUAGAUAUUAGGAAGAACACCAGUGGCGAAGGCGGCUCACUGGUCCGGUACUGACGCUGAGGUGCGAAAGCGUGGGGAGCAAACAGGAUUAGAAACCCCGGUAGUCC